GACGAACGCCGGCGGCGUGCUUAACACAUGCAAGUCGAACGGAAAGGCCCUGCUUUUGUGGGGUGCUCGAGUGGCGAACGGGUGAGUAACACGUGAGUCACCUGCCCUUGACUUUGGGAUAACUUCAGGAAACUGGGGCUAAUACCGGAUAGGAGCUCCUGCUGCAUGGUGGGGGUUGGAAAGUUUCGGCGGUUGGGGAUGGACUCGCGGCUUAUCAGCUUGUUGGUGGGGUAGUGGCUUACCAAGGCUUUGACGGGUAGCCGGCCUGAGAGGGUGACCGGCCACAUUGGGACUGAGAUACGGCCCAGACUCCUACGGGAGGCAGCAGUGGGGAAUAGUGCACAAUGGGCGGAAGCCUGAUGCAGCAACGCCGCGUGCGGGAUGACGGCCUUCGGGUUGUAAACCGCUUUCGCCUGUGACGAAGCGUGAGUGACGGUAAUGGGUAAAGAAGCACGGGCUAACUACGUG
rnacentral:rRNA from 1 species